AAUCAACGCUGGCGGCGUGCCUCAGACAUGCAAGUCGAACGAUUAAAAGCUCUCUUCGGAGAGUGUAUAGAGUGGCGCACGGGUGAGUAACACGUAAGUAAUCUACCCUCGAGUGGGGAAUAACAACCGGAAACGGUUGCUAAUACCGCAUAAUGCAGCGGCACCGCAAGGUGACAGUUGUUAAAGAUUUAUCGCUUGAGGAGGAGCUUGCGGCAGAUUAGCUAGUUGGUAGGGUAACGGCUUACCAAGGCUACGAUCUGUAACCGGUCUAAGAGGACGGUCGGUCACACUGACACUGAAUAACGGGUCAGACUCCUACGGGAGGCAGCAGUCGGGAAUUUGGGCAAUGGGCGAAAGCCUGACCCAGCAACGCCGCGUGAAGGAUGAAGUAUUUCGGUAUGUAAACUUCGAAAGAAUAGGAAGAAUUAAUGAACGGUACUAUUUAUAAGGUCCGGCUAACUACGUGCCAGCAGCCGCGGUAAAAGUCAACGUCG
rnacentral:rRNA from 1 species